rnacentral:lncRNA from 1 species
UGGAACAAUAGGUUGACCGUUGAUUCGAAUACCCCCCAACUCAUCACCUACAGCAUAGUUGUUGACGGGUACGGCAGUAGCAUCAUUGUUAUCAUUGACCGGGCCUCCCUCUGGCGGAGCAUUGUUGAUCGGUGGAUUUGCAGCCUCUUGUCUCUAAACCAUAGCUCGAAGUUCUUCUUGACCUUGCGCAACCCCUUGCAUCAUAUUCAUAAAUUGGGCCAUGCUAGCCUUCAUUUCAGCCAACU